AAGACUAUACUUUCAGGGAUCAUUUCUAUAGUUCGUUACUAGAGAGGUUUCUCUGAACGUGCAGAGUACCGGAAACCACGAGAAGGAGGCACAGCAUGAAGCCGGCUUUUGGUGUUGCCUUUGUAACACAUGUUUGCUGUUGAUGAUUGUUCUUCUCUUCUUUCAGAAGAAGAGAAGGCGCUGUCUGAGUGGU